UAACCAACGAUCAGGGACUAUAGUCCUCCUUCAGUCCUUCUCCACACCACCACCACCGGUCCACCACCACCCACUAAGCCUCAUCCUCCACCCAACCCACACCUGCAAACACUUCAUAUUCCGACGACUCCAACCGGCAUCGUUUUAGUUCCACAAACCCAUCGAUUUUCUAAACCCCAUUGACAGUGGUGAAUGUGCGAGCAGAGAGAGAGAGAGAGAGAGAGAGUGAAGCGGAUGGCGGUUGUCGAUGGCACUACGACGGCUAGGGCUCCGUCAUACACGACCUGGGAAGAUGAUGGGUCACCAACGCUAGUUUGGAGGUCUAGUGGCUGUGGCAAACCAGAGCUCCGAUUAGGAUUACUAGCUCCAACCCCGGUGGAUCCGUCGACUGAGGUUGCUAGGUUGCUGAAAGUCGCCGGUCGCCGGAGUGGUUGCCGAAAAACCGAACCCUGAAGAAGGAGUUGUAGACUUGUAGGUGUAUAUCAGUAUAUGUAUAUGUGGUGGAAGAGAUUGGGUUGGUUAAGGUGGCCCCACACCCCACAUGUUUUUUUUUUAGUUUUUUUUAUUUAUUAGUUAAUUAGUUUUUAAUAGUAAGGGUAAUUUAGUCAUUUUACAUGGACUUAACUGAAUAAACUAGCUUCCAUCCA